rnacentral:tRNA from 1 species
GCGACCGUGGCGAAGUGGUUAACGCAUCGGAUUGUGGCUCCGACAUGCAAGGGUUCGAUUCCCUUCGGUCGCC